AUGAAUCAGGAAUGACCAACACAUGCGAAGAAAUCAAAUAAAACCUAAACCUAAAAAAAAUAAAAACAAAAAAGAAAAGAAAAAAAAUAAAAAAUGUGAUGUACGGUUUUACCACACGACGACAUUUCAGACGACUCGAGCAAAUAAGAACACGUUGGGACAUCAAUUAGUGAUCGUUCAACCUUUAAUCACGCAUUGUUUUCGGGCGGACGCUAAUAAAAAUGAGUUUAAGCAUCUCGCCGAAAGAAAACAUGCGUCUUAGAGUUUAAAAUGUCAAGAAGUAAAGGUUAAGUGGUGUGGCAGUGGUGACGGGUUGACAGCUGGCAGUGCUGUGGAUUUUGAAAGGGGUUUAAGGAAAAGGGUGCUUAGAUUCGUGGAGAAAAGAUUGAGAGGAAGAAAUAGUGAAACUUUGGGGUAGUUUGGAUGAUAGGUGGCGGCAGUAGUGGUGCCAGCGCAACUAUGGUUUGAUUUUGUCAAUUUUUUUUGGAGAUUUGGGGGAUUUGGGUUGUGGAUCUAGAAAGAGGGUGAGGAGAGAAAAAGAUUGGCAUAAUUGGGGGUGUUUGGAGGAUGGAGGCUGUCGGUGGGCGAUUUAUGGCGACAUGCGGUGAGGUCUUAAAGAAAAGAGAGGAGGGAGAGUGAAAAGAGAGGAAGAAGAA
rnacentral:lncRNA from 1 species